UACGUAGGGGGCAAGCGUUGUCCGGAUUCACUGGGCGUAAAGAGCACGUAGGCGGUUAUUUAAGUCAGGUGUGAAAGUUUUCGGCUCAACCGGAAAAGUGCACUUGAAACUGGAUAACUUGAGAAUCGGAGAGGUAAGCGGAAUUCCUAGUGUAGCGGUGAAAUGCGUAGAGAUUAGGAAGAACACCGGUGGCGAAGGCGGCUUACUGGACGAUUACUGACGCUGAGGUGCGAAAGCGUGGGGAGCAAACA
rnacentral:rRNA from 1 species